GAGGCCUUAGCUUAAUUAAAGUGUCUGUGUUGCAAUCAGAGGAUGUAUUAGUUUUACAGGCCUUC
rnacentral:tRNA from 1 species